GUCCUGAUAUACCUGGUGCUGGUACGGCCCACAUUAUCUUUUUAUCAAUUUUGUCAGUCACGGCCGCGCAUUGCUAGCAUAUGAAAGUUUUCUGGUGGAGAUGGCUCAUAUAAUGCUAUUAGCAUGCUUUGUUUCUUAUUAUAGAUGGAGUUAAGCAAGGAACAGAUGAUGCAGAGAUUUUGGCGAAGUCAAGGUUUCAGAUGGUGGGAGUUUUUCUGAUACUACUGUUGUCAAAAUAUUUUUUAGUCGUGUAUGAGUUCCAUCUAUUUGACUUGCAUAAUUUAUUGCCUUGUUGUAGAAUGUUAUUGAUGAUUAGCAUUUGCAGAGGUUAUGUCGGUAUUUCUUGUCCACCCCACCACGACGAUGAUGGCCUUGGAAUAGUGUGCACUGGGUUUGAAUAGAUUGGAGUGGAUUUAGUGAAGUAGUAGCCCUACUGACGAGCAAAAUGUCCGCCACCGGUCCAG
rnacentral:lncRNA from 1 species